ensembl:misc_RNA Metazoa_SRP Metazoan signal recognition particle RNA
GCCAGGUGUGGUGGUGCAUACCUGUAGUCCCAGCUACUUGGGAGGCUGAGGCAGGAGAAUCGCUUGAAUCCAGGAGGCAGAGGUUGCAGUGAGCCAAUAUCACGCCACUGCACUCCAGCCUGGGUGACAGAGUGAGACUCAGUCUCAA